UCGCGGGUGCACCGCCGA
rnacentral:snRNA from 1 species